GAUGAACGCUGGCUACAGGCUUAACACAUGCAAGUCGAGGGGAAACGACGGGGAAGCUUGCUUCCCCGGGCGUCGACCGGCGCACGGGUGAGUAACGCGUAUCCAACCUGCCUCUGACUGAGGGAUAACCCGUCGAAAGUCGGCCUAAUACCUCAUGGUAUCGUCUGCGGGCGUCCAACGACGAUUAAAGAUUUCAUCGGUCAGGGAUGGGGAUGCGUCUGAUUAGCUUGUUGGCGGGGUAACGGCCCACCAAGGCUACGAUCAGUAGGGGUUCUGAGAGGAAGGUCCCCCACAUUGGAACUGGGACACGGUCCAAACUCCUACGGGAGGCAGCAGUGAGGGAUAUUGAUCAAUGGGCGAGAGCCUGAACCAGCCAAGUAGCGUGCAGGAAGACGGCCCUAUGGGUUGUAAACUGCUUUUAUGCGGGGAUAAAGUGAGGGACGUGUCCCUCAUUGCAGGUACCGCAUGAAUAAGGACCGGCUAAUUCCGUG
rnacentral:rRNA from 1 species